rnacentral:rRNA from 1 species
UGGCGGCGUGCCUAAUACAUGCAAGUCGAACGAAGCUUUCUUUCACCGAAUGCUUGCAUUCACCGAAAGAAGCUUAGUGGCGAACAGGUGAGUAACACGUAGGUAACCUGCCCGAAAGAGGGGGAUAACACUUGGAAACAGGUGCUAAUACCGCAUAACCAUGAACACCGCAUGAUGUUCAUGUAAAAGACGGCUUUUGCUGUCACUUUUGGAUGGGCCUGCGGCGUAUUAACUUGUUGGUGGGGUAACGGCCUACCAAGGUGAUGAUACGUAGCCGAACUGAGAGGUUGAUCGGCCACAUUGGGACUGAGACACGGCCCAAACUCCUACGGGAGGCAGCAGUAGGGAAUCUUCCACAAUGGACGAAAGUCUGAUGGAGCAACGCCGCGUGAAUGAAGAAGGCCUUCGGGUCGUAAAAUUCUGUUGUCAGAGAAGAACGUGCGUGAGAGUAACUGUUCACGUAUUGACGGUAUCUGACCAGAAAGCCACGGCUAACUACGUGCCAGCAGCCGCGGUAAUACGUAGGUGGCAAGCGUUGUCCGGAUUUAUUGGGCGUAAAGGGAACGCAGGCGGUCUUUUAAGUCUGAUGUGAAAGCCUUCGGCUUAACCGAAGUAGUGCAUUGGAAACUGGAAGACUUGAGUGCAGAAGAGGAGAGUGGAACUCCAUGUGUAGCGGUGAAAUGCGUAGAUAUAUGGAAGAACACCAGUGGCGAAAGCGGCUCUCUGGUCUGUAACUGACGCUGAGGUUCGAAAGCGUGGGUAGCAAACAGGAUUAGAUACCCUGGUAGUCCACGCCGUAAACGAUGAGUGCUAAGUGUUGGAGGGUUUCCACCCUUCAGUGCUGCAGCUAACGCAUUAAGCACUCCGCCUGGGGAGUAC